CUUGAGUGCGCGGAGGCCAAAGCUGAGAUGACUUGCCUGGGAUGCCACACGUGUUGGGCAGCAGACCGAGCCUCCCACCCCUCCCUCUUGCCCUCCAGGUACCACGGCCCACGUGGGCAUCAUGCUGUAUGGGGUUGACAGCCGGAGCAGCCACUGGCACCUGGACGGCAACAGAGCCUUCCACCGCAACAGCCUGGACAUCUUCCGGAUCGCCACCCGCACAGCCUGGGUAGCGUGUGGAAGAUCCGAGUGUGGCACGACAACAAAGUACAUCAUCGUCAGGGACCUGCAGACGGCACACAGCACCUUCUUCCUGAUCAAUGACUGGCUUUCGGUGGAGACGGAGGCCAACGGGGGCCUGGUGGAGAAGGAGAUGCUGGCCGCGAGCGACGCAGCCCUGUUGCGCUUCCGGCGCCUGCUGGUGGCUGAGCUGCAGCGCGGCUUCUUUGACAAGCACAUCUCUCCAUAUGGGACCGGCUGCCUCGUAGCUGUUUCACUCGCAUGCAGAGGGCCACCUGCUGCGUUCUCAUCUGCCUCUUCCUGGGCGCCAACGCCGUGUGGUACGGGGCUGUUGGUGACUCUGCCUACAGGUGGGUGCCGUAGGGGUUGGGAC
rnacentral:lncRNA from 1 species